CUCAAAAAGAGGAACAAAUUCCUGGUGACCCGCUCAACCGUCCACCCACUCGCCCACACACUGACAAAACAAGUGGGUUCUGAAUAUCUACCAUAUGUGAAUCCCGGUGCCCAGUAGAACGAUUCCAAACAGGAGAAGAGGCAGCGAAGCUAGAGGUGUCAGAUAUGGAGGUGACCAGUUGUUCCCGCGAUGAGUGGGUGGGCAACUCGUCAGCCUUGGAAGACAAGCCCAGCCUCUUGAGUAUGCAUGUGGGUCUCGCCUCUGUGAAUAUGUAACAGCAAACAGUGUCGUUGGCAGAAUUUCUGUUUGUGGAACUGCCAUCGCGUGGGACUGGGCCGUGCCCCUGAUGUGAACGAUGCCAGCACUGUGUGCGACUGACUGACCGCCAGUCCAGCAUCUGCGCGUGGCUGGUUCCAGCAGUGACGCGCAUACCCAGGGCCUGUGCAGCUAGCUAAGGCGCAAGACCUGGCCGUGGGAAAUGCGAUCGUCUCAUCGUGGAGACCCUAGUUUGUUUGUUUUCCUCCCGGACUCUCUCCUUCCCACACCCCCUUCCCUUUCUUGUUUUGAGGAGAGAAAACAGGCCACGCUAGGGAACCUGCAACAGCAGUGAGUAGAACAAUCACACGUGACUGGAGCAUCCAUCACGGCCUGGUCCUUCAGCCCGGCCCGGCCCGGAGAAGCCGCCACCCUGGCUGCUGCCUUCGCCGCGGCCCGCGCUUUAUUAGAAUUUAUACGUUGCCCCGAUUGAGGGGGAAAAUAAUUAACACCCCUACAAAUAUAUC